UACGUAGGUGACAAGCGUUAUCCGGAAUUACUGGGCGUAAAGCGCACGUAGGCGGCUACUCAAGUCAGAGGUGAAAGCCCAGGGCUCAACCCUGGAACUGCCUUUGAAACUAGGUAGCUAGAAUCUUGGAGAGGUCAGUGGAAUUCCGAGUGUAGAGGUGAAAUUCGUAGAUAUUCGGAAGAACACCAGUGGCGAAGGCGACUGACUGGCUUGGUAUUGACGCUGAGGUGCGAAAGCGUGGGGAGCAAACAGG
rnacentral:rRNA from 1 species